rnacentral:rRNA from 1 species
UACCCGCAGCUCAAGUGGUGGUCAUUAUUAUUGGGUCUAAAGCGUCCGUAGCUGGCUUGUUAGAUGCCUGGGUAAAUCGAUGCGCUUAACGUAUCGAAUUCCGGGUAGACCGGCAAGCUCGAGACCGGGAGAGGCGUGAGCUACUCGAGGGGUAGGGGUAAAAUCCUGUAAUCCUUCGGGGAGGACCAGUGGCGAAGGCGUCACGCUAGAACGGCUCUGACAGUGAGGGACGAAGCCCUGGGGCGCAAACCGG